rnacentral:tRNA from 6 species
GGUCCCAUCGUCUAGUCUGGUUAGGACGUCGGGUUUUCAUCCCGGAAAUCAGGGGUUCGAAUCCCCUUGGGACCG